CAGGACGAACGCUGGCGGCGUGCCUAAUACAUGCAAGUCGAACGAACUCUGGUAUUGAUUGGUGCUUGCAUCAUGAUUUACAUUUGAGUGAGUGGCGAACUGGUGAGUAACACGUGGGAAACCUGCCCAGAAGCGGGGGAUAACACCUGGAAACAGAUGCUAAUACCGCAUAACAACUUGGACCGCAUGGUCCGAGUUUGAAAGAUGGCUUCGGCUAUCACUUUUGGAUGGUCCCGCGGCGUAUUAGCUAGAUGGUGGGGUAACGGCUCACCAUGGCAAUGAUACGUAGCCGACCUGAGAGGGUAAUCGGCCACAUUGGGACUGAGACACGGCCCAAACUCCUACGGGAGGCAGCAGUAGGGAAUCUUCCACAAUGGACGAAAGUCUGAUGGAGCAACGCCGCGUGAGUGAAGAAGGGUUUCGGCUCGUAAAACUCUGUUGUUAAAGAAGAACAUAUCUGAGAGUAACUGUUCAGGUAUUGACGGUAUUUAACCAGAAAGCCACGGCUAACUACGUGCCAGCAGCCGCGGUAAUACGUAGGUGGCAAGCGUUGUCCGGAUUUAUUGGGCGUAAAGCGAGCGCAGGCGGUUUUUUAAGUCUGAUGUGAAAGCCUUCGGCUCAACCGAAGAAGUGCAUCGGAAACUGGGAAACUUGAGUGCAGAAGAGGACAGUGGAACUCCAUGUGUAGCGGUGAAAUGCGUAGAUAUAUGGAAGAACACCAGUGGCGAAGGCGGCUGUCUGGUCUGUAACUGACGCUGAGGCUCGAAAGUAUGGGUAGCAAACAGGAUUAGAUACCCUGGUAGUCCAUACCGUAAACGAUGAAUGCUAAGUGUUGGAGGGUUUCCGCCCUUCAGUGCUGCAGCUAACGCAUUAAGCAUUCCGCCUGGGGAGUACGGCCGCAAGGCUGAAACUCAAAGGAAUUGACGGGGGCCCGCACAAGCGGUGGAGCAUGUGGUUUAAUUCGAAGCUACGCGAAGAACCUUACCAGGUCUUGACAUACUAUGCAAAUCUAAGAGAUUAGACGUUCCCUUCGGGGACAUGGAUACAGGUGGUGCAUGGUUGUCGUCAGCUCGUGUCGUGAGAUGUUGGGUUAAGUCCCGCAACGAGCGCAACCCUUAUUAUCAGUUGCCAGCAUUAAGUUGGGCACUCUGGUGAGACUGCCGGUGACAAACCGGAGGAAGGUGGGGAUGACGUCAAAUCAUCAUGCCCCUUAUGACCUGGGCUACACACGUGCUACAAUGGAUGGUACAACGAGUUGCGAACUCGCGAGAGUAAGCUAAUCUCUUAAAGCCAUUCUCAGUUCGGAUUGUAGGCUGCAACUCGCCUACAUGAAGUCGGAAUCGCUAGUAAUCGCGGAUCAGCAUGCCGCGGUGAAUACGUUCCCGGGCCUUGUACACACCGCCCGUCACACCAUGAGAGUUUGUAACACCCAAAGUCGGUGGGGUAACCUUUUAGGAACCAGCCGCCUAAGGUGGGACAGAUGAUUAGGGUGAAGUCGUAACAAGUAACCGUAAA
rnacentral:rRNA from 2 species